GCACAAGCGGUGGAUGAUGUGGUUAAUUCGAUGCAACGCGAAAACCUUACCACCUUUGACAUGUACGGAAGCCUUUAGAGAUAGAGGCGUGCUCGAAAGAGAGCCGUAACACAGGUGCUGCAUGGCUGUCGUCAGCUCGUGUCGUGAGAUGUUGGGUUAAGUCCCGCAACGAGCGCAACCCUUAUCCCCAGUUGCCAUCAGGUAAAGCUGGGAACUCUGGGGAGACUGCCGGUGAUAAACCGGAGGAAGGCGGGGAUGACGUCAAGUCCUCAUGGCCCUUACAUCCCGGGCUACACACGUGCUACAAUGGCAGGUACAGAGGGCUGCGAAGCCGCGAGGUGGAGCGAAUCCCAGAAAACCUGUCUCAGUCCGGAUUGAAGUCUGCAACUCGACUUCAUGAAGGCGGAAUCGCUAGUAACCGCGAAUCAGCAGGUCCGCGGUCGAAUACGUUCCCGGGCCUU
rnacentral:rRNA from 1 species